UGACACAAGAGGGUGGCAUCGGUUAUUACAGAAAUGCUUUUAUGCAGCGAGUCCACAUGUAAAACCACAUAAAAUAAUAACAGUGAAGAAAGAGGAAAAUGUUUUGUUGCUAAAAACAAUGUGUUUAUAUAAAUUAUAAAAAAACCCCUUUAAAAUUCAAGAUGAAAUGACAAGUUAACACCAUAGAAGAAAAACAUAUUUCCAAACAAAACAACAAACGUCUCAAGAACUUUUUUAAUCUGCUGCUGUUUCAGCUCUCACAGGUGCAGACGAUUGCCCCGUUAAAUGGUUUGUUGAGGCACACUAAAAUGCCAUAGAGACAACAACAGAUGGUCUGAUAUCGUACCUGUCAGCAGACAUGUGGGACGCUCUGCUGUGGAGCUGCUGAGCACGCGCAGACCUCCCAUGUUUUUUUGGAGUGGCCAUCAACUCAUUAACAAACAGACGCGCUGAUUCUUUCGCUCUAUAUCUUUGCACUGCUGGAUAUUAUUCUUCCUAUUACCUCUCAGAACUCCAAUCACCAGAUGUCCUGUGGAGAAACAAAGCUGCGAGACACAGUCAGAAAUGGAAACAGCACAGAGAAUGUCAAUUUCCUCCAAUCGGCUCAGAGGGCAGGUUUUUUUCCUGCAGGGGGAAGAUUAGGUUGAUGUCAAACCUGAGGUCCAAUGAGUUUAAAUGUGCUGAAGCCAGCUUGGGUGAAUCUGAAAAUGCACUGAAUUCCCUACAAAGAAGCUCUAAAAUAUCAGUGUCAACCUAUUUCAGUUCACCUACAAUCCUGCGUUAUGGGUAUAUUUACAGUGUGCAGCUGCUAGUGAUAUUCCUUUUAGUGUCAAGUCAGCCGACAGUGACUCUGAGGAUGCCAAGCGUAUCCAUCAGAAUCCAUUAGUCGUCUGUUACUAAUUACCAGUGACUCCAGGGUUGAUUAAAAGAAAUCACCAAGCAGCAGCACACACCAUUAUGCUAAUGAAAACUCAUUUAAAGAGGCAGAGUGGGGGCGCCGCCAAGUAUCUGGACGACUUUCCUGUGCAGCCGGGCUGGCUGGAGUAAAUGGCUUCUUGGACAGCGUGUCACUGCAGGACUGGAAGAGAAGCGAGCCUUGUGAUAAUGGCAGUGAUGAGGAGCAGGAUGAUGAUGGUGAUUAUGACAGAAUUUUAAUAAAGUGUCUUUCUACACUUUUUAAAAUUCUGUUCCUCAUUUGCAUGUUUCCUAUUUGUUUGCCUGUACUUGCCCUGUGGCUCCGAACACCAAAUAUCUUCUUGGCAAGAAGAUAAGACACGUUUGGUGUGUUUUCAUCAUAAUUGAUUUCCUCAUUAAUUAGAAACCCUUCAGGGGAGAGAGAGGGCGGGAUGCCGAAGCAAGCUCCUAAUCGCCAAACGCUGAUUGCUUUGGUGACAGUGAAGUUCAAUAGAAAGAUUACAGAAGUUACAGACACAUGUUCAUUAUGAGACAUUAUUGAUCUUUCAUUGCACAAGUGAUUCAAAGGUCAAUUGUCUACUUCAUCAUAUAAUUACACACACAAAGACGAUUAAAAAUGACCAAACCACCAUCUUUACAGAGAGAUAUAAUUAAUGACAAUAUCUGAUUUUUGUUAUACCUCAUAAACAACUCAAACAACUUUGUUAACAGAAGCAGGAGAAAGAAGAGGCCUUAAAUUUAGCUACUCACCUCAGAUACGCCAAAUAAACAGAUUAAGUAAAUGUAACCAAGUCAUUGGUGGAAGAAGCAGUAGGACCUACUACCCAAUCAUCCCACCGCCGACACAGCCCAAAUUAUUCUUAUUUAAGUUACUGUGAGCUUGUGCAAUCUCUCUGUUCAUCUUUUAUCUCAAAUGGCUGUUUGAGAUGGUUUAGAUUUGCUCUUACUGACAUCAUAUGGAGCGAAAAGUAUAAAAAACAAAACCAGAACAGAGCGUUUAGAGCACUGGGAAGUUUCUUGCUCCAUAAAUUACUUGUAUUUAAAGCUUUAGGCAUAUUUAAUGUGCAACAAUAUUGUAAAACUCCAAUUACAAAAACACUGAGAUACUGUAUUAGCAUGUAAACAAAAACAGAGCUCACCAAACUCGCAUUUUAUGCAGUUAAAACAUAUAAUGUUUAAACUAAGAAAAAUUACCAUUUUAAGAGUGAAAAUGGGAACUUUUUGAGUUUGAUGGCAGCACUGUAUAAUACAAAGUGCACUCCCUUUAAAUAAAUAGCUUGACAUUUGCUUUUUGCUAAGAAUUAAGUUGCAGGUCUGUUUGGUCAUUACAAGGACAAAAUCAAGAGAUGUUUAAGUGUGUCUGUUCAAAGGUAAAACAUCCUAGCAGCAGAUGCAAAUCUCACACGUUAUCUAUGUAUUUGUUAUUUAUUCAGGUAUAGUGUAAAAAGUGUUUCUAAUGGCCAAAUAUUACAAAAUACUCCCUGAGAUGUAGUGAAAUAUAAACUACAGAUGACCAAGUGCCUCAAAUUUAAUUACAUGGAGGAAAAUGGUAAAUUAAUUAGCUUCAUCCACUUUAUGAAGUCGUGAAAGUUUAAUUUUUCAUGUUGUCAUCCAAUACAUAACCUGGAAUUAUUUCUGACAUCUAGCAAGAAACCCAGCGGAUUUUAUAGUAACUGCCCUAAUCCCCUGCUUCCUUUAUUUGAUGAAAAAUGCCCCGGGGCUUUCAAAGGGUUUCAUCCUCAUGAAGUUCAACUCCAGAUCCCCCAUCCAGCCCCUGAGCACCUGUUAAAGGCCAACUACUUCAUGGCAUCCAAUAAACAGCUCCAACUCUUGAUCCUCACUCACAGUGAAGGGGCCACUUUUCAUCCCUCACAUCUGUGAUUCCCUGAGCAUUACCCAAAAUCCCCUUGGCAGUUCAGUGAUCUUUCUCAGCUGUUAGUGUGCCCUCGGACUGGGAUAGCCUUGCUGUGUGCUCCAGCUGCAAGCUUUGCUGUGAUUGUGGGGCCCAACUGAAGGGCACUAUUGUCCAUUCAAGGGGUUCACUGUGUGAAAGGUCAGCUGAGGCAGAGCCUGUGCUGCCUGGCAGGAAAUGAAGGUGGAGUGGCAAUUUGGGUGAUAGUGUGAGGCUGGCCUGAAUAAAUAAAGCAGUUCAAACAAGGACAGAUUAAGCUGAGUCCCCCCCUUUUUUAAAAGUGUUAAACGAAAACGCAAAAAUCUGUAUAUACGAGCAGUUGCUUUUUAAAAGAAGCCAUGCAGGGACAGGUUGAGAUACGCCGUGUGACCGGGAGAGCAGACCGCGUCACAGAUGUGCAGAUAAAUCUUCAUUUCUUACCCCGUUAAGCAAUUCAGUCAUCUUCAGAGGCAGCUCUGCUUCAAGCCAAAGGCACCUUUCAGAAUUCAGAGAAAGUGCAGAACAAAUUGGAGAACAAAUAGUCACACUGGGUCAUUCACAUAAGCCUCAGGAGGUGGGCUGGCUACAAGCAACAAUGAAUACUACGCUGACACUUUUUAAAGUGGAAUUUAUCAUAAAUCUUUUAUUAGUAAUGUCUGAGUUCUCCAACCAAAAGCAUCUGAACGGACAAAGCUUUUAUCAAAGACAAGCAGACUGCAGAUAUGAGAGCGAUUUCAGUGAGAACACAAGACACCUUUGAUGUUUGUUUGGCACAGCUGAAAAAAGUCAAGGGUGCAGUGUUGUAAUGUUUUAAUCUUUAUACAUAUAAUCCUACUCAGACUCAGCAUCUUAUUUAGCGAGGGACCUGUAGCAGACAAGCAAAGUAAAAUCACAAAAAAAAGCAAACAUUGUCUCAUUUUUAUACAAACGUAUUAAAAACAAGAACAAGUUUCCAGUGAUGAUUUUAUAAGAUCAUUUAUAUGCCCUGCAAGCAAAACUUAAUCAAGAGAGCUGGAAAGAAAAGGAGAACAAAUUCUUUCUGAGCUCUAUACGAACUGAUGACUGAAUGUAAUGAAAUCCUGAGACCACAGACUAGUACAGGAAGCCAGAGAUUCCCAACUUUUUUUGCCCAGAGCAUUUUCAUAACUCUAUCAGAUGGGCUCAAGUGUCUCUAAACACACACAAAAACCAUUGGCUGAAUAUGCCAAUCUAAACGUAACAUACUGAAUGGAUUUGAAUAAGUUGUCGCACUGGUGACACACUGGGCAUUUGAAAUCAUUAUAAUUAUUUAUUAUCACGUUAACUUCAGUGUCUGCAUUUUUGCUCACUUGCUAACUAUUUUACAGCUACUGUUAUUCUGCAUACUUGUUUAU
rnacentral:lncRNA from 1 species